rnacentral:lncRNA from 1 species
UGUUUGUGUAUUUUACUUUUGAUAUUUGAUUUAUUUUUCUUUCUUUGAUUUUAGGUUCAAAUGGAGCCGAGGGAAAUUUAAAGGAAAGAUGCGUCCGGCUAAAGACGUUAAAUCAAGCGCUUCUUGGGAGGCAACCCAAGCAUUCAACGAAGGGAGACUUUGGAAUUGCUAACCCAAUCAGCUUUGCAUUCUUCCACCCUUAUCUUUACUGCUUUCAUUUUGUUUUGUUUAGUUAGUUGUGUUAUUUGGUUGAUUUCUGUGAGUUUGUGUUAUUUAGUUUAA